UACGGAGGGGGCUAGCGUUGUUCGGAAUUACUGGGCGUAAAGCGCACGUAGGCGGCUUUGUAAGUUAGAGGUGAAAGCCCGGGGCUCAACUCCGGAAUUGCCUUUAAGACUGCAUCGCUAGAAUUGUGGAGAGGUAAGUGGAAUUCCGAGUGUAGAGGUGAAAAUUCGUAGAUAUUCGGAAGAAACACCAGUGGCGAAGGCGACUUACUGGGACACAUAUUGAC
rnacentral:rRNA from 1 species